CUUCAAUCUGUAGCCACAUGGCUGUGUUCCCUUUCUGUUUGUUUUCCCACUUCCCUUCUAAAUAUUUUGCAUCAUCUGGGAGACUUUGCCAGGCUGAGGUCCGCUCCCUGGAGGACCGCAUUCCUCUGAUCUGUGGCAUUAGGUUGUUGCCAUGGCAAAGGCUGCCUACCAGGAGGAACACUUCUCAGAUGGGCAAUUCCGACCUCGUUUCUUCCUCUCCUCCGCAUACUUGGUUAUUCUGACGCCCACACCGGCCCGGGCUUUCUCUAAUCGUAAACUAUGUUCCUGGAACGUGAACUUUAUUCUGUUUGCCUUUCAAGAUACAGAACUAUUUGGCUCUGUUUAUUUUUGUUCCAAGUGGGCAGGACCCUCUUGCCUGUUGUGACUAAUCCACUUGUCAGGGCUGGAAUCUCCU
ensembl:antisense